CAUUCACGGAGAGUUUGAUUCUGGCUCAGGACGAACGCUGGCGGCGUGCUUAACACAUGCAAGUCGAACGGUGAACCCCAGCUUGCUGGGGGGAUCAGUGGCGAACGGGUGAGUAACACGUGAGUAACCUGCCCUUCACUCUGGGAUAAGCCUUGGAAACGGGGUCUAAUACCGGAUACGAGACGCACGGGCAUCUGUAGCGUCUGGAAAGAUUUAUCGGUGAAGGAUGGACUCGCGGCCUAUCAGCUUGUUGGUGGGGUAAUGGCCUACCAAGGCGACGACGGGUAGCCGGCCUGAGAGGGCGACCGGCCACACUGGGACUGAGACACGGCCCAGACUCCUACGGGAGGCAGCAGU
rnacentral:rRNA from 1 species